rnacentral:rRNA from 1 species
GAUGAACGCUGGCGGCGUGCCUAACACAUGCAAGUCGAACGGAAAGGCCCUGCUUUUGUGGGGUGCUCGAGUGGCGAACGGGUGAGUAACACGUGAGUAACCUGCCCCUGACUUUGGGAUAACUCCAGGAAACUGGGGCUAAUACCGGAUAGGAGCUCCUGCUGCAUGGUGGGGGUUGGAAAGUUUCGGCGGUUGGGGAUGGACUCGCGGCUUAUCAGCUUGUUGGUGGGGUAGUGGCUUACCAAGGCUUUGACGGGUAGCCGGCCUGGGAGGGUGACCGGCCACAUUGGUACUGCGAUACGGCGCAGACUCCUACGGGAGGCAGCAGGGGGGAAUAUUGCACAGUGGGCGGAAGCCUGAUGCGGCAACGCCGCGUGCGGGAUGACGGCCUUCGGGUGGUAAACCGCUUUCGCCUGUGACGAGGCGUGAGUGACGGUAAUGGGUCAAGAAGCACCGGCUAACUACGUG